UUAAGAUUUUCCUUAGUGCUCAUGUGUACUUUCAGUGCUUUUAACCUUGAAAGGGAUAUAGAUUGUUUGGAAACCAAAAUUAAAGACAGAUCGAAAGAGUACACUCUGAUUUACUCACCUCAUGAUAAAUCACAUCCUAAAUCUAGGAAGUUAAGCUAGGUUUUCUGUUUGAAUUGUUUCCUGGCAGAAAGAAGUUGUAGAAUAAUUCAUUUAUAUUAAAGCUUAGUCUUAUACAUUAGAGGAUGAAAAUCCAAUUCUUAGUGUUUAUUCUCCAUCAAUACAAAGGAAACCCAAAGCCAGGAGGAAAUAUAUUUAAUCAGAAAAAGGAAAUAAUUCUAACAUAUACUAGAACGUACUUGUUCAUAUGUAAAGACUAAGAAAAUUGUAAGUCCAGAGUCUUCAAGCUGUUUUACAAUAUGGGAUGUCUACUGUCAGUCAUAACAGCUAUGUGCAUCGUAUUAGCACUCAGUACAAGGUUCCCAGGACUCUGAACAGAUUGUUUCCACAAUUAGUAUCUAUGUGCUGCUGGCAAUAAAAUUAUAUGUGAGUCCAUUUCCUCUAGCCGUAUAUAACAAGCAUGUUGCAAAAAUAAAAUAAUACAUAAAUCAUUAUGUUUUCAGUGAACUGUGUGUCACCCAUGAUGUACAGCCUAAGUAAGACUUUAGAUCAUAAGAACUGUUGUUAUAUUCUUCUGUUCUUUUGUUUGACUAUAAUGGUAAUCAGUUGGAAGGAUUUGGGGUGUUUUGUAUGAAUAAGUGUUUAAACUAGUUAAUUAGUUGACCUUUUUUCUACUAUAAUACAAAAACUGACCACUAUCCUUAUAUGCCUAGCCAGAUCAAAUGACCAAUGGAUUUAUCCAAAAUUAUCAUAUCAUUUGUAAGUAAACUUAUGAAGAAGCUAGUACGAACACUCUUUCUUAACAUGUUUGUUUUUUCUAUCUUGUAUACCUAUAAUUUACAUUGACUGGAGCACCAUUAGUUUGCUUGAGGUUGUCUAACUUCAGGUAGUUUUGUGGCCAUUGUUCAAUGAGAUUUUAUUGGUAUAGGGGGUCCUUCUGUUUGUGUGUUGCUUUCAUUGGUUAAUUAAUAAAGAAACUGCUUGGCCUGAUAGGGCAGAACUUAGGUAGGCGGAGAAGACAGAACUGAAUUCUGGGAGGAAGAAAGCAGAGUGAGAGAGCCACCAUGGAGACGCCACGUCAGACAUGCUAAAUCUUCCCUGUAAGCCACUACCUCUUGGUGAACACAGAUCAAUAGAAAUGGGUUAAAUCAAGAUGUGAGAGUUAGCCAAUAGGAGGCUGGAGCUAAUGGCCAAGCAGUGUUUUAAUUAAUACAGUUUCUGUGUGAUUAUUUCGGGUAUAAGCUAGCCAGGCAGCCGGAACAAAGGGACUCUCCCUUUUCAACAUUUUAUUAUUAAAAAGGACAACUGAAGGGAAGCCUUGAGACAAAUGAAAGCAAACUCAUAACCUGUCUAAGUACAUAUUAAACAAAAAGAAAUAUCUAAAAUGAACAAGCUAAACACAUAGAGUACUAUUGUAGGAAGACAGAAACAGGCUCAAAAUAGUAGGAAGCAGGAAAGAGUCAGUAUGUUAAUUAUUACAGAAGAAAUGAAUGAAAUUGAAGAUAGGAAAAAACUAAGAGGUAAUGUUUUGAAAACUUCAAUGAGCUGAUAAAUCUUUAGCUAGACUAAGACAAAAAAAGAAAGAAGACUCAAUAGAGUCAAGAAUGAAAAAGGAAGCAUUACAACUGAUGCUACAGAAGAAAAGAGAAAGAAAAUUGAGAGACCAGAAAUUGUUUGGUUUAAAACUGAACUUAUAAAAACAUAUAGCCUUGCAAGACUGAGUCAUGAAUUUAAAAGAUUUGAACAACUAGAGCUACUAAAGAGAUUCCAGCAGUAAUCAAAAUCCUUGCAACAAAGAAAAUCCUAGGAGCAGAUGGCUUCGCUGGUGAAUUCUACCAACAUUUUGAAAAGAAUUAAUGCCAAUUCUUCUCAUACUCUUCCAAAAAAAAAAAGUGAAGAGGAGGGAACACAUCCAAAUUCAUUUUAUGAGGCCAACAUUACUCUGAGAGCAAAGCCAGAAAAACAUGCCACACACACAAAAAAAUUAUCACUGGCAAUAUAGGCACAAAAACUCUUUAUUUAAAAAACAACAACAAACUGAAUUGGACAGCACACCGAAAGAGUUAUAUACUAUGACCUCUGUAUCCCUGACAUACAGGGAUAUUCUAACAUACAAAAAUAAAUGUGAUAUUCCAACAGUGAAUAAUUCUAAAUAAUUCCAAAACCUCAUUUGACAAAAGUUGGCAUAUUUUUGUUUGCCUUGGCUUUGCUUGUUUUUUGUUUGUUUUGUUUUAAUUUUUGUUUUGUUUUUUAGAAUCAGAGUCUUGCUAUUUAGCCCUAGCUAGCCUGGUACUCACAUGUAGCCCAGGCUGGCUUUGAAUUCCUAGAUCAUCCUGCCUCUGCUACCUGAAUGAUAGCAUAAUAGGUACAUACCAACAUACCUGGUUAAGUUAAAAUGUUUUAUGCUGUAAGUAAUAAUAGAUAUAGUAUGGAUAGAAGGAAAUUACAUCAACAUGAAAAUAUCACACAGGCCUGCCUUGGUGACACACACCUUUAAUCCCAGCAUUUGGGAGGCAGAAGCAAGUGAAUUUCUGUAAAUUCGAUGCUGUGCCUGUCUUCAUAAGAAGUUCCAAGACAGUCAGGACUAUGUAGAGUCUCAAAGCAGAACAAAACAAAGACCAUACAGGAAAAUUAUACAGCCGACAUAGCCAAUAAAAGGUUGAAUGUUUUUCCUACAUAUCAAAAACAACCCCAAAACACAUGUCACUUACAUUCAACAUAAUGCUAGAAGCUCCAGCCAGAGCAAUUGGGCAAUAAAAAUAAAUGCAUAAAAGAUAUCCAUGUCAAAAAAAAUUGUCUCUGCUGGAAAUGGCAUGAUAUUAUAUAUAAAAAGUCUAGAUUAUACCUGUACAAACACCACACAAACAGAACUGAUAAGAUUAUGAGUGUCUCAGGAUAAAGACAGACAGUAUUCAAAAUUUUUCUGUAUUUCUGUAUAUCAGUACUGAGCAAUCAAAAAAUUAAGAAAAAUAUUUCAAUUAUAAGAUAUCAAACUUGUAAAAAUAUUUAGUAAUAAAGUUAACAAAAGAAGCAAAAUAACUGUCCACAGAAGACUACAAAACUGUGCAAAAAGAAAGUGAAGUAGAUAAAAAUAAGUAAAAAGGUAAUCCUGUGCCUGCUGUUCCUUUGGAGACAAGGCCACGCGUGCGCAGAAAAUACAGUCUCCAAGUGGACUACAAACCCCAAAAUGCCCAGAGCCCUUUAAAAAUGGGCGUUCCAACCCGCCCUCUCUCUCUUCUCUCGCGCUCCCCCCUUCUCUUCCCCUUUCGUCUCUUCACUCCCGUUCCUUGUAUGUUACCCUCCCCCAUUAAAGUUUACCCACGUGGGACCCCGCGUGUCUCGUCUCUCCUUCCCCAACCCCGCGCGUCUCGUGUCUCCCCCUCCCGAACAACACCCCCAACCUUUAAAAAAUAGUAACAUUGGUGCCGUCUGCUCGGGGACCUUCGCGCCCCGGGGCCCUCACCUGAGGCCUCGGCUCUGGGUUUUGGCGCCUCCUGGAGCUCGGGGCCUCCCCCGGGACAAGGUCAGAACCGGACGACCUGCGACCACUCCACGUGUUCCAGCCAUCUCGACACGGCCCUCCCUCUCCAACCGUCAGCGGCUAAUUCCAUCCUAACGGUGACCCAGCCACUCAAGAGCCAGACAGAUACAAUCUCCAGACAGAUGCGAUUUCUUCAAUCAGCCACUUGAUGCCAGCGGACAAAACAUCGAUAUGACAUCAUCAGGACAAUAGGACGCUCCCCGGACCCCUCGACGCCCAAAGUCAGCAGGAAGCAGUCAUGAGAGACCGGGCUACGCCCCUAUUCCCUACCCGUUAAGACCCUCAACCCCCCCCCUCAAUUUUUUUUUUUUUUAAUAAAACCAAAAGGGUGGAAUGUUGUUCCUUUGGAGACAAGGCCACACAUGCGCAGAAAAUACAGUCUCCAAGUGGACUACAAACCCCAAAAUGCCCAGAGCCCUUUAAAAAUGGGCGUUCCAACCCGCCCUCUCUCUCUCUCCUCGCGCCCUCCCCUCCUCUUUCCCUUUCGUCUCUUCACUCCCGUUCCUUGUAUGUUACCCUCCCCCAUUAAAGUUUACCCACGUGGGA